CCUACGGGGGGCUGCAGUGGGGAAUAUUGCGCAAUGGGCGAAAGCCUGACGCAGCGACGCCGCGUGAGGGAUGAAGGUCUUCGGAUCGUAAACCUCUGUCAGCAGGGAAGAACGGUCACGGUGCUAAUCAGCAGUGAAUUGACGGUACCGGCAAAGGAAGCACCGGCUAACGCCGUGCCAGCAGCCGCGGUAAUACGGAGGGUGCGAGCGUUAAUCGGAAUUACUGGGCGUAAAGCGCUCGUAGGCGGUAUGUCCAGUCAAGGGUGAAAUCCCCGCGCUCAACGUGGCAACUGCCUUUGAAACUGGCAACCUGGAGUGUGUGUGAGGCUAGUGGCAUUCCCGGUGUAGGCGUGCACUCCGUAGAUAUCUGGAGGCACCUCAGUGGCGAAGGCGACUCUCUGGCCCAUACCUGCCGCUGAGGCGCGAACGCGUGGGUAGCAAACAGGAUUCGCUACCCUAGUAGUC
rnacentral:rRNA from 1 species